rnacentral:lncRNA from 1 species
CAGCUCCUAGUUUAAUUGGAAAAACUCUGUCCUCGUGUACACCCAUGUGAAAGUGAGUGGAUAUUCACGAUGAUCCCCCUUUUCCUAUCCUGACUGGCGUCAACUUUACUCAGGAUGGAGCAUUUGUGGAUGCCUGGCUGUGGAUUUCCCGGGCUUAAAGAUAAACAGCAUCUCGUUUGAUAGCAGAAACUACCGUCGAGUUACGCAUCUAUUACUCCCCCUUUCUUUAAAUGUCCUCGUGUACACCCAUGUGAGUGUGGGUGUAUUCACGAGGACCCCCUUUUCCUGUUCUGUCUGGUGGAUUCAACUUUUCUACGGAUUGAGCACUUGUGGAUGCCUGGCCGUAUUUCCCAGGCUUUAAGUUAUAUGGGAGACGACCUGAUCUUGAGUUCCUCCGCCUGCACGAACCGCCAAUCAUCCUGUGAUCUGAUCCUGUCCAGCAGCCACCAAAAACACCACACAAACGCCCCGUGCUGUGCGUGAUGGAAGAAACAAGUGGGCGGAAUGGCUCCGCCGGUCCGAGAAGGGGAGAGACUUGACUCUAACCCUCUCUCUCUCAUCUUUCGACAGCAGCAGGAGAUUUCGGCUCGACUGGCGCUCCGUGGCUCGUCGCCAAGGUGGUGCGCGAGGCUGGGCACCGGAGCAGAAAGAUGGCAGCAAUGGAACAUUUACUCCCCACCCCACCUUAUGGAAUUGCCCGUCUCCUGACGUCCAGUGAAUAUUCCUAGUGCGGUAAUAAGAUUACACGGAAAUCCGUCGCCACAAACACCCCGAAAAUAGCACCACGGGACGACUCCCGCCGAGAAAAGAGUUAUGUCACUGCUGGACCUUGGCAACAACAACAACAUCAGCAGCGACAACAUCACCCGAGAAAGAAGCAAUACGACGAGAACGACGCAUUAAAGAUUGAAUUAGCCGCCGUUAUUUAUUGGGCGACUACCACUUGUUUUCCCGUUUUCGCGGCAACGUUGCUUUUUUCGUCUGCAGUGCGUCAGCUUAUGUGGCCGAUUCCGAUAGGCCGAUAGUUCUGACAGACUGACACUAACAAUCUGACAGCACCUUCCGAGAGAGCAUUUGUUAAGUACACUGAAUUGAUUCAAAAAGGAAAAUGAUUACAGAUAUCCAGUUGGCUAUCUUUUCCAAUGUUUUGGGAGUUUCACUCUUCCUGAUGGUCAUUCUCUACCAUUACAUUUCAGCCAACAACCCUAAAGCUGCAUCUUCAUAAGUGAAUUCCACUGGUAUCAAUAUCUUAUGAUGAUUGUACAAUGAUCCAGUACGGAAAUACAUCCUAUUGACUAUUGUA